rnacentral:rRNA from 1 species
AGCCUGAACGCUGGCGGCGUGGCUAAGACAUGCAAGUCGUACGGAGGUAGCAAUACCUCAGUGGCGAACGGGUGAGUAAUGAAUCGCUAACGUGCCCCGGACUCUGGGAUAGCCGGUCGAAAGGCCGGGUAAUACCAGAUGAUAUACCUUUGUCGCAUGACAGAGGUCUCAAAGGUCCGCCGGUCUGGGAGCGGGCGAUUUCGUAUCAGCUAGUUGGUGAGGUAACGGCUCACCAAGGCGACGACGCGUAGCCGGACUGAGAGGUUGGCCGGCCACAUUGGGACUGAGACACUGCCCAGACUCCUACGGGGGCUGCAGUAACGAAUCUUCCGCAAUGCACGAAAGUGUGACGGAGCGACGCCGCGUGUGGGACGAAGCCCUUCGGGGUGUAAACCACUGUCAGAGGAAAGAAAGUUCUGAUCUACCUCAGAGGAAGAGGCGGCUAACUCUGUGCCAGCAGCCGCGGUAA